rnacentral:rRNA from 1 species
CGCUGGCGGCAGGCCUAACACAUGCAAGUCGAGCGGUAGAGAGAAGCUUGCUUCUCUUGAGAGCGGCGGACGGGUGAGUAAUGCCUAGGAAUCUGCCUGGUAGUGGGGGAUAACGUUCGGAAACGGACGCUAAUACCGCAUACGUCCUACGGGAGAAAGCAGGGGACCUUCGGGCCUUGCGCUAUCAGAUGAGCCUAGGUCGGAUUAGCUAGUUGGUGAGGUAAUGGCUCACCAAGGCGACGAUCCGUAACUGGUCUGAGAGGAUGAUCAGUCACACUGGAACUGAGACACGGUCCAGACUCCUACGGGAGGCAGCAGUGGGGAAUAUUGGACAAUGGGCGAAAGCCUGAUCCAGCCAUGCCGCGUGUGUGAAGAAGGUCUUCGGAUUGUAAAGCACUUUAAGUUGGGAGGAAGGGUUGUAGAUUAAUACUCUGCAAUUUUGACGUUACCGACAGAAUAAGCACCGGCUAACUCUGUGCCAGCAGCCGCGGUAAUACAGAGGGUGCAAGCGUUAAUCGGAAUUACUGGGCGUAAAGCGCGCGUAGGUGGUUUGUUAAGUUGGAUGUGAAAUCCCCGGGCUCAACCUGGGAACUGCAUUCAAAACUGACUGACUAGAGUAUGGUAGAGGGUGGUGGAAUUUCCUGUGUAGCGGUGAAAUGCGUAGAUAUAGGAAGGAACACCAGUGGCGAAGGCGACCACCUGGACUAAUACUGACACUGAGGUGCGAAAGCGUG